AUUAGUGUGGCAGAGCCCGGCCAAUGCUAAAGACCUAAGCCCUUUCACCCAAGGGUUCAAAUCCCUUCACUAAUU
rnacentral:tRNA from 1 species